CUAAUCUUAUUGCUACUUUGUUUACAUUGUUUUUAAUUUGUUUUAAUUAUUUCAGGUGGAGUAUGCGGCCGUGGAGAACAUCAUUGCGCCUAUUGGUCUCGUCGUCGGCUGCGAAGUGGAAUCCUUGCGAGUGUCGGCGCUAAACUGGGACUGCAGGACAGCAUCAACAGGGCUGAAGCUGGCCGAGGUCCAGUGCAUCGACAUUCUGGAUGUGGAUUACCAAUUUCUGUGAAGGUGAAGUGGCUUCGUAUCUGUUUUUUUUUUUUUUUUUUUUGACUGGCUCAGGGCACUUUAGAGUGACCUGAAGCUUUAUUUAUUAAUGUUCUUAUUACUAUUGGCAACAUAUAACAUUAUUUAUGGAAACAUUUAACAUUUUUUUAACAUUUAGGUAUUUUUUUUUACUUUACGGUAACAUUGAUAAUAACAGACAGAAAAAUACUAGACAGUUAUCAAUUUGCUCUUGUAAACAAAAGGUAAGUUAAGAUCGGCUUGUGUUUUCUUUUUUCUGGCUUAGGCAUACAAAUUUUGUGACGCCGCUCCUGGACCCCUCAUCCGGUGCGAAACGGAGGUAUGGACGACAGGGAGACCUCCAAGCAUCGGCAACGCAAGCGCGGCAUCGCCUCGUCCCUCUUUUCCUGGCCGAAUCCAACCGAUGCAGCUCUAAGAAGAACGGCGGCGCAUAUGCUUCUUUCUGUGGAUGAUAUGAAACUCCUGGCUGAUUUUAAUAUUGUUUUAUUUUCAGGUUUAUGUUUUGUAGGUUUGGUGAUCAAGUGUCAGGAAUCCAGUUAGGUUCGAUUGGUCCAUUGGGAGGUUUGCGUUGAGUUUGGCUAAAUUAAUUUAUUUAGAGGUUUGCGUUGAAUUUGGU